GGAGUGGCUCAGUGGUAAAGUGCCCAGCUAGCAUCUGGGAAGUCCUAGGUUGGAUUCCUAGUAUCUCUU
rnacentral:tRNA from 1 species